rfam:Triticum aestivum genome assembly, contig: Triticum_aestivum_CS42_TGACv1_scaffold_220784_3B
UAAGUACUACCUCGGCCCGAAAAAGCUUGUCACAAGCUUGUUCUUCAAAUGGAUGUAUCUAGCACUAACUUGGCGCUACAUACAUUCAUUUGAGGGACAAGCUUUUUCGGACGGAGGGAGUAGCAA